rnacentral:rRNA from 1 species
GUAGCGGCGAGCGAAACGGGAAAAGCCCAAACCAAGAUGCUUGCAUCUUGGGGUUGUAGGACUCCGAUAUGGUAGUCCAACCAGGUAGUCGAAUGACUUGGAAAAGUCAGUCAAAGAGGGUAAAAACCCCGUAGACGAAAUGUGGUUGACACCUAGGAGGAUCCUGAGUACGGCGGAACACGAGGAACUCCGUCGGAAUCCGGAAGGACCAUCUCCCAAGGCUAAAUACUCCCUAGUGACCGAUAGUGAACCAGUACCGUGAGGGAAAGGUGAAAAGCACCCCGGAAGGGGAGUGAAAUAGAUCCUGAAACCGUGUGCCUACAACAAGUUAGAGCCCGUUAGUGGGUGAUAGCGUGCCUUUUGUAGAGUGAACCGGCGAGUUACGAUAGCAUGCGAGGUUAAGUUGAAGAGACGGAGCCGUGGCGAAAGCGAGUCUGAAUAGGGCGAAUGAGUAUGUUGUCGUAGACCCGAAACCAUGUGAUCUACCCAUGUCCAGGUUGAAGGUGCGGUAAAACGCACUGGAGGACCGAGCCCACGUACGUUGGAAAGUGCGGGGAUGAGGUGUGGGUAGCGGAGAAAUCCCAAACGAACUUGGGGAUAGC